AACUUUCAGCUUCCGAUGGUAAAACUGAAAUAUUUUUCAGAACAAAGUUGCCGUUCUUUCGUUUUUGUUUUUGUUCAAAUACCACAAGUCCAGGUUGAUUUAGGCUAGCUUGUGACACAACAGAUGACGGAUGUGGAUGGGUAUUUCCAAUGCUGUUCCCAUUAUUCACAAUAUGGUUAGGAUAAAACCCAGCCAUGAUGCAUGCGUUCACCACAUUCCAAUUGCUGGAAUUUUCGUUCAAUUCACGCAUUGAUUGCGAAAUCAUACCAGAUUUGCAUAUGUAGUCGAAGAUUAAACAUCGAAUGCCUUCGGCUUUUAACAUGUUACCUUGUGAAAUGUAAUUCUCGACACAAAAUUUUCGUUGAUGUUCCCGUAAUUGUUUCGACCAAUUUUGAAUUAUAUUGAAAUACAGUUGAUGGUCGCUAUAUUUAUUUUCUGCGAAUCGAUUUUUUGUUUCAUUGAUUUUUUCAGUCACUUCCUGUGUAUUUUCAAAUGAAAGUACGAAUAAAUCUUUCACCGACAGUGCACUGGAAAUCAUAACAAUGGGAUCCAAACAUCGCAAAAUAAUUGCGUAGAAGAGUGUCUUACUCAAUUGACAAUCGAUUGGCAUGUUUACCAAAUGUUUACCGUGUUUACCCAAAUUUGUAAUAUUUUCGCUUGCAACGUAGACGACAUCAUCUAUUGUAAGUGCUGUUUCUGCAAUAUUUGUAGAUAAUAUUAUUUUUCGAACGCCAUUUUCCAUGCGAUCAAAGACAUGAGCAUGACCCUCAUUGUUUUCAUCAUUUAGUUCGCUAUGCAGCGCAAAAAUCUUAUAACCCCAAUCCUGUAAUCCAUGUACGCUUACUAACUUUUCAUGUUGUUCGCAUAUAUCGUCGUAGCUGGGCAAAAAUACAAGAAUAGCGCCAUUUUUUGACGUAUUUUCAUGGAUAUGAUCAAUGACAUGAAAAAGUAAGUUGUGAUCAAUAAUAUUUUGUGUGCCUUGUGUUGAUCGAUACGCUCUUCCAAUUUCCACGUAAUUUUUCCAUGUUGUGGUGGAUGUCACACGUUCAUAACACAUUAAGAGCUCACAACCCUCACAACAUUCCUCUUGUUUAUUUUCUUUCGCAUAAUCAAUUGCGCUUUUACCAAAUGGAUCUUUAAAGGUCGCACUUUCACCAAAAGCCAAAAGCUUUAACAUCAUAUUCAGUGAACCAUUUUCCGCAGCAAUUCCCAACACGGUGCGUUGCUUUGUACGAUGAACAUAAUUGGCCGGCAUGUAGUCGCCUUCAAUGAGAGAAAAAACGUUUUCAAAUGAUUCACAAUCUUUUCGCAAAAUAUAAGAAUCCAGGCGACUGUCGCACAUUAAGCGAUAUGAUCGCGGCAUGUCUUCUAUAGAAUGAAAUAAUAAACAAUAAAUUAAUAUGUUACGUAAAGAUGCGUUUUUCUAAGCAACUAGAAAAUAAUGUGUUUACGGUUUUGACAGAUUAUUAAUGUCGACGUAUACGUAACCACAGCUGUCAUAAUAUAUACGUAACUUCGUAUUUUCACAUUGUGGAGAAUUUUUUCUGUUUCAUUAAUAAUGAAUCAUUAUUUUCUGUUCCCAUAGAAUGGUAUGGCGCUCAUUAGCGAGAUUCGCAAAAAAAAGUCUCCAAUCUCAUAUACGUCAACCCCCCUUGGUUCGCACGUACAAGAAAAUCAUAUUGAACAAAUUUUGAAUCAGCAAAAAGUAGAAAAGAACAUUAAAAUUAUGGACAGAGCAAUUUCAGCCAGAAAUCGAGACGAAAUGGCCCGAAGCAGAAGAGUACGUCAACCAAGUCGAGCUGGUCGUAGUAACAAAAGAGCCACACAACGUACAAUUUCACCACCGAGCAGAAGUAUGAGGAUGUCACGGGCAUCCGUUAUGCCAAAAAGUGGACGGGGGAGAAAAUCAUCAAAAAAACGAAAUGCAUCGAAAGUUCCAAAGGGUCGGAAUACAAAGGAAAAUCAACAACGAAACAGAUCUCGUUCUGUUCGUCGAGCCUAAAAUAAAUACGUCAUCGCAAACCAGUGCAGAUACGAAUUUCAUUUUUGAAUAAUCAUCAAAUAUAAAACGAUUUAUUAUGA